GAUGAAGAACGUAGCAAAAUGCGAUAAGUAAUGUGAAUUGCAGAAUUCAGUGAAUCAUCGAAUCUUUGAACGCACAUUGCGCCCGCUGGUAUUCCGGCGGGCAUGCCUUUUCGAGCGUCAUUUCAACCCUCAAGCCCCCGGGUUUGGUGUUGGGGAUCGGCUCUGCCCUUCUGGGCGGUGCCGCCCCCGAAAUACAUUGGCGGUCUCGCUGCAGCCUCCAUUGCGUAGUAGCUAACACCUCGCAACUGGAACGCGGCGCGGCCAUGCCGUAAAACCCCAACUUCUGAAUGUUGACCUCGGAUCAGGUAGGAAUACCCGCUGAACUUAAGCAUAUCAAUAAGCGGAGGA
rnacentral:misc_RNA from 1 species